GUUGACAUCGUCUCCCCCACCCAAUGUCGCCAUCCUCUCCCCUACCCGCAACCCACAUCGCCAUCCUCUCCCCCACCCAUCAUCGCCAUCGUCUUCUUCUCUCCGAUUUCGAUACCGAUAAUUCGAAUUCUGGAUAGACAAUGGAUUCAUACAUGGAACAAGGUACACAACAUUAGGCUCCUCAAUUCCAAGUACAUUGGUGGGGAUGAAUUCCAACAUGGAUUAUUUUGGUGAUAGACGGACUACUCUCUCUUUAGUGAAGUAUCAUUGGUGGAGAUGUCAUAUAUAUAUAUAUAUAUAUAUAUUUUGUAGAGAUGACUAUUUUUAGUGCAUAUUGUCUCCAUAAACAUGUAGCUAUUGUAAAUUCCAGACAUUGUUGUUCUUGAGUAUUUCAAUGCUUUAUUGAGCAAGUUUGAUC